CUGCGGACUUGCCGGGCUGCUCAGCUUGGCCGCCAGCCUCCAAGUCGGGAAAGCAGUUAUCCUCUCCUGGGCUGGAGAGCAGGGACGCCCCUUCCCCGCCCCCCCGGGCGUCCCCGGGGUCGGCGCCAGAGCCCUGGAGACCCGGAGGCUCUGGCUGAUGGCGGCAACGCGGGCUCAGGAGCCUCCCCUGGCCAGGCCGAGCUUAGUUCGUGGAGGCGGCGGCUGGGGACGUGGGGGCCAAGGCUAAAGGGGACCCCACACCGCAUAGGCGUUUUCCUUCCCCUCACUUGCGCCUUAGCCUCUGCCCAAAUUGCCUGUAUCCAGUAGGACUGACUCUCUGCCUGGCCUUUCUCGGCUGCCAACCUUGCCCGAAAUCUAGACCCCAGACCUGUGACGGGUCUCCGCAACCUCUGGUAGACCAGGCUGAUCUCUAGCGAGAAACUCCAUGCGAGCAACUCCACGUUGUGUCGAGUUAAGGUAGAAACGGAAACGGUAGAAGACACUGCAUUGCUAAUGGGACUGCAAAUUGGAGCAACCACUUUUUAAAAUUUUUAUCUCAAGGCAAGGUCUGCUAAAUUGUCCAGGUUGACCUUGAACCUGUGAUCCUCCUGUCUCAGCCUCCCAAUUAGCUGGGACGACAGGCAUGAGCCACUACACUCAAGGAGAAGUCAAGUUUGACAAGUUUUUGGCCUCAAAUAACUGGAAGAAUGGAGUUUUCAUUAACAAAGUAUUUUUUUUAAAAAAUAUGUCCUCAGUUGUUGAUGAACCUUAUUUGAUUCAUUUAUUUAUAAGUCAUUCUGAGAAUUCAACCCAGUGCCUCACACAUGAUAGGCAAGGGCUCUACCACUGAGCCACAACCCCAGCCCCUAACCAAGUGUUUUAAUCAGCUUUUUUGCUGCUGUGACCAAAAGACCUGAAAAGAACCACUUUAGAGAAAGGGAGAUUUUAUUUGGCAAUCACAAUUUCAGAAAUCUUAGUCCACAGAUAGCUCGCUUUAUUGCUCUAGGCUCAAGGUGAUUGCAAAAUAUCAUCGUGAAAGAGUGUGGUGGAAGAAAGCAUCUCAGAACGUCGCCACCAAGAAGCAGAGAGAAUAUUCUGCUCAACAAGAACAAAAUAUAAACCCAAAGGCAUCCCCACAGUGACCCACCUCCUUUAGUGACAUCUUACCUGCCUACAAUGAUCACCCAGUUAAUUAAACUGUAUCAGUGGAUUAUUGACUAAUUAGGUUAAGACUCGUCAAAGCUAAUCAUUUCAACUCUUAACAUUUUUGCCUGUCUCACACAUGAACUUUGGGGUGACAACUUAUGUCUAAACCAUAACACCAAGAUAUAGAAGAUUGUGGAAGAGGAAGAUUUUUAAAAAAUGUAUGUAUGCAUGUAUGUAUGUAUGUAUGUAUUCUAACUAGGUAUAAAUGAUAGCAGAAUGCAUUUUGAUUCAUCGUACACAGUUGCAGCACAACUUUUCAUUUGUCUGGUUGUACGUUAUGUAGUGUUUGACUGUAUGUGCAAUCACACCUGUAUCUAGGGUAAUGAUGUCCAUCUCUUUCCACCAUCUUUCCUACCCCCAUGCCCCCUCUGUUCCCGUCCCUCCCCUUUGCCUGAUCACAGUUCCCCGGCCACCUCCUUCUCUCUGUCUCUCUCUCUCUCAUUUUGCGUGUGUGUGUGUGUGUGUGUGUGUGUGUGUGUGUGUGUGUUGGGGAGGUGAAACAGGAACUCAGUUUUGAGAAUGUUAGAAAGAAUUUUAGAAAUGACUUUGAAUAUUUAUGGGGAGUGAUUGAACAGGCAGUUAAAUUUUUGAGCCAUCAGCAUAGUGGUAAUAUUUGAAGUCUCCAUGCUGAAUUAGACUACAAAAAUGUACACAGAUAGAGACAUCUAAGCUGUAAGUCCUGGGCUCUCCAACAUUCAUAGGAUGUAACAUUCAUAGGAAGAACUAGUGGAGGAGACAGAAAAAUGGUGAGUGAAGAGGGAGGAGAUCCAGAAGCAGGUUGUGUCCAAGAAACCUCCUGAGGACACUGUUUCAGGGGGAGGGAGUAAUCAGCUGUGGUAAAUAUGAUAGUAGUCCACAUCAGAUGAGAAUGGAAAGUGGAACAUUGGAUUCAAGGUCAUGGAGGUUAUUAGUGACCUAACAUGAACAGUGAAGGAGAUGUGAUGGUGAAGAUAAGAUACCUUUGGAGGGGAUUGAAGGAAUCAAUGGGAAGGGAGAAUUCAGAAACCAUGAAUAUAUAGGAUUAAAAAAAAUAGUAACAUGUUGUAUAACUUUAUCAUUGAGCAAUAUUCUGAGAAUCAUACAGUUAUUUAUAGCUCUAGAUAUUUUUUCUGAAUAAUUGCAUAGUUCAAGCUUUUUUCUCUAUAUCAUUGCAUAAUUUCCCAUGACAUGAACUAUUAGAUAAUGUUUAAGAUGGUUAUCUAAAUAGAUGUCUUAACUUUUCUAUAUUAGUACCAAGAAUUUCAAUCAUUCCUGCCUUAAAACUCUAGAAUUUAAUAUCCAAUAUUAAUCCAGAGAUUGAGGAAGAAGAGGCAGAAGAAUUUUGAAUGAUCAUAGGGGGACACAUAUGGGCAGGAACCUGGUGGCAGUGGGGAUUUUAUCAUGGAAACCAGUAGAAAAUGAAGUUCCCUGAAGUGUUCUCUCUAAUUCUUUUCUUCCUUGGGUCAGGAAUAAUACUAAAGAGUUAAACACUCACAAAGGUACAAGUUUGGGUUACAGAUACUUUUGCCAGAAAUACAAUUUUGUUUUCAAAAUGCACAAGUCACUAUUAUGAAAGCACCAGUGCUUCUCCAUUUCCUUUUGUGCUAGAGUGUGAAGGUUUUUGUUGCUGCUGUAGUUGUUUGAGUACCAGUGUCCAGGAUGAGCAUCCUUGCCUCCUGAAGCUAUUUUCUCUACUCUCAAAACAACUCAUCCUAUUUUUGAAUGCUUUUUAGCAGGAAACCUCUUUUAUUUCCAAACUUUCUCUUUCGAAGAAAGGAGCUGUCUCUCUCUAACCUCCCACAUUGCGCAGCUGCUUAGGAGGCUUGUAAUUAAUGGAGAUGUGCUAACAAUUGCACACCCAUUGAUGUUCUGGGCUUAUUGAUAGAAGCAGGGUGGGCAGCACUCGUUGGGCUGGGGCCUCUAACUAUACGCUUUGCCAAUGAGCUGUAGAUUAGCUAUUGUUCUUUUUAAGUCAGAGGAUCUUUGGGAGCCUGUCUUAUAUAAGUUCAGGAGAAUUUUCCUUGGGGAUUAUGAAAUGAUUCCCAACAUAGAAGAAUUGAAGAGGAAUUUUCUGAAUAGAAUUAGCUUCUUCUGUUGGAUCUCUUAAUAAGCAGUAGUGCUCUAUCCCCUACAGAUCUUCCAAAAAUUCUGGUAAUUGUCUGGGCUUGUUGAUUUGUAUUUUGAAGUGCUUCUAAAUGCCAGCUCUGCA